rnacentral:rRNA from 1 species
UACGUAGGGGGCAAGCGUUGUCCGGAAUUAUUGGGCGUAAAGAGCGCGUAGGCGGUCCGAUAAGUCGGCUGUGAAAGUCAGGGGCUCAACCCUUGGAAGCCGGCCGAUACUGUCGGACUAGAGUCCGGAAGAGGCGAGUGGAAUUCCCAGUGUAGCGGUGAAAUGCGCAGAUAUCGGGAGGAACACCAAUGGCGAAGGCAGCUCGCUGGGACGGUACUGACGCUGAGGCGCGAAAGCGUGGGGAGCAAACAGG